rnacentral:rRNA from 1 species
UACGUAGGUUGCGAGCGUUAUUCGGAUUUACUGGGCGUAAAGAGCACCGAGGUGGCUUCUUAAGUUGGAUGUGAAAUCUCCUGGCUUAACCGGGAGGCGCCAUUCAAAACUGGGGAGCUUGAGGUCAGCAGGGGAAGGUGGAAUUCUCGGUGUAGCGGUGAAAUGCGUAGAUAUCGAGAGGAACACCUGCGGCGAAGGCGGGUAGCUGGGCCGACACUGACGCUGAGGCGCGAAAGCCAGGGGAGCGAACGGG